AUGAGUAAUUACUAAUUAGAGAAGUAAAGUGGACCUGGGAGUUGAGUUAGGACAGAAGGUGAUGGCGUAGCGCUGCGCGGCGGCGCAGGUGAAGGUGCUCGUGGCGUCGUCGAAGGCGUAGCUGUACGCCAGGGGGCACGCGGCCUUAAACACCUCCGAGUACGCCGACGGGCGGCACGUGCUCGGGCUGGCGAACUCUCCCGUACAGCACAGCUCCGGCGUCCCGAACGCGUCGCACGCGCUCCGGCAGGCGGCGCCGCCGCCGGCCCUCAUCUCCGCCGGGCACACGCGGUUCACGUCCGCCGCGCACCCGGUUUCCCCGCACCCCGCCGCCUCCGCCGCCACCCCCACCGGCAGGUUGUACCCGUCCACUAGGCUCACGUCGUAGAAGUCCGCCCCGCCAGCGCCGCCGCCCAGCGUAAACUCCACCAGCGUUGCUGGCGGCGCGGCUGCGGCGCCAUUGCACUCCACCUGCCCGGACCCGCAGUCGCCGGUGGCGCAGGAGCCGCGCCCGGCGUCGUCGAAGGAGCAACCCGUGCGCGCCCAGAAGCGGCCCGACCACCCUGACGGGACCAGCAGGGAUCUUGCGGUGCCGGCGGGGAGCGAGAAACCGGUGACGCUCAGUGGAGGGCUGCCGGAAUUGGAGAGGACUCCGGGCCACACUGUAUCGUCGCACCUGUUUAUGAAGGCGAAGGUCGUGCAAUCUCCUGCACGAAAGAUGUUCGACGAAAUGCUUAUAUGAUAAACUUCGCAAACGAAAACAAAUGCACUCAGUUACCUGCAAACAAGCAACAGAGGAAAACAGAGACGAGAACCAAAACCCCAUAUAAGAUUGUGUGAUCCAUUAGAAGAUUACGGAGGAGACAAAGGCAAGUAAGCCAAGGCAGUGCUUCCUGGAAUGGUGAUAUAGUAUUAGAUAAUAGAUUCGCAGGGAGAAGAAAAGGAAGCUUCACAGGCAGGGGCUGACUUAGAGCAUUGGAGGAGUUUCGUCAAGUGGACAUCCCUGAAUCCUCUCGCUACUCGAUCACUAAGCAACUUGAUGGUAGUCGAUCCAAAAGGAACCAACCCGAUAAGAGUCGAUCUGAUAGAAGCCGAUCUGAUAUGAGCUGACCCAACUCACAUCCGACCUACAGGGGAACUCUGCUUCAACACUCGGAGGUGUCAGUCCAUCAAUCAUCUUAAUCGGAUCUUUAAUCUUUUUAAAUUUUUCUAUGAAAUUGAUUCUAAAUUUUGACCAUGAAUAAUCUUAUAUGUACUAAGUUCAUUAAUUUUCAUAAAAAUAACUGAUUAAGUUUUGGUUCCAAGUCCGUGUGCCAAUUAUCAA